rnacentral:rRNA from 6 species
CGACCCCAGGAUGGGCGGGAU